UCGAUUGCAGUGUCAGGUUAAUAUGAAACUAGUUUUUCGUAUCUCUGAGGAUGGUUCGUUUUCGUAUUGUUUCAGGUAACUAGACAUGCAUCGUUAUCUAUUCCCUUACACUAUCAAAGUUUCUGUGAUCACACUAGGAAUUUUGCAUAGAUAAAUUCUAAGUUUUGAAGGAUUUGUAAGAAAUGUUUGAGGGAACUUAAUACUUAAACACCAAGCUCUCUUUGCAUUUCCAAAAUGUCUUUUGCAUGUUCCAGUCUGUUUGAAUAAAUGAAAUUAAAUCAAAAGUCCAGAUGAAAACAAUACUUGGGCGGCCGAUGUUCUUGAAAUCCUAUCUUUGGAAAAUGCAGGGACCGCUUGGAACACAUGCAUGUUUAGGAUAUUUACUGUAUCCUGUGUCUGUGCUGUACAAUGUUGAUACAUUUAUAUGUAUAAAACGUUUUUGUAACUUGGUCCUUUCCCAAACCUUUCCUUUGCAAUUUUUUUUAAGUUUCUUCUUUUCAAUUUUCAAGUUUCUUCUUUUUAUUUUUUUUUCUUUAUUUGUCUCUUUAUUUUAUUUUUUUUUCCCUUCAUUUUGUUCAAAGUCACAUGAAGAAACUAUAGUUUAUCAUUGGUUAAUUGAUUCCAGCUCAGCACUAAGGCGCUCACAACGUCCGCAGACAUUGAGAUUUUUUCCUCGCGAGGUGAAAAAUAUCAAACACGAUAGAUAUUUCCCUCAAGGCCUCGAGAGGUCAAAUCCUCACGAAAACUAUCCGCACGCGAUAGAAACUUGCUGAGCUAGCUGCCACGCGAGGCGGUUAGCUCAGCAAGUUGCUCUCGUGUGCGGCAGGCUUAAGUCGGACAAAUCAUCAGAUGUGAAAACGUGUCGGACAAAAUUUUAGACGAACCUGAAGUCGUCUGAAUUUGUUCGACUGCUUGUCCGCCUGUGAAAACGAUUUUUGAUCAUAAGGGACGAUUUGUUUAUCUAGACGACUUGUCCGUCUCUAAUGUGAGUAGGGCUAUAUAUAUUAUGUAAUGUGUAGGUAUAGGACUUACGCCCGUAUUCUAAAAGCUCACUCACCCUCAAUGAGUGGAGGUUCAGUUCUGAGCUUUUCUUGAGUGUCAUAACUGUUUUUGAAUAGCUGUAGUAAUAGUGAGUAGUCACAUAGUAAGGUAUGACACUAACCCUCCAGCUAUUCAAAAACAGCAAUGACACUCAAGAGAAGCUCAGAUUGAACCUCCACUCAUCGAGUGUGAGUGAGCUUUUAGAAUACGGGCGUUAGUUUGGGACUCCUCAGUCAUGUUGUCUGUACCUUUGUUCAUUGUAAAGUUUAUAAACACCGAAUCACGAUGCGAUUGAAAACGAGCUGUAGACUCAUUGAUCAUUCGAGUACUUGCAAUUAUUUCACAUUAGCAUGUACUUGCAUAAUUGUUGCCAAUAUAAAUAAAAUUGUAUAAGUCCAAUAUUCUCUUUGGUAUGCACAGGAGAUUAAUAUCCUUCAAUCUCAUAUUUAAUGACCUUUAAACAUAACCCGCUUGCUGAGAACGGUUUGGAAAAUUUACGUUUAUAAACCUAGCAAAUACAAGACAGUCUUAAGUCAGUAUGUAUAUAUAGAAAGAGGAAACGCCCUAACAGGGCCCUGUUACAACAUUUUAUGUAUGAAAGGUGUUAGAAGGCAAACGGUACAACAAGAGCUCUGAGUACUGGAUUUGAAAGACUCAAACAAAUUCAAAACUUUUCAUCCUAGUUGGAUAUAUCUGACUAGCAACUAAGCAAUUGAUCAGUGAAAUGUCAGAAGUUAUAGAAUCAUGGCUAGACAAUACAGUAUCGUGUGCCGGCAUCGAGCAUGUGUGUAAAUUUCUGAUGUUAGGCGAUUCGGGAGUUGGGAAGACAAGUUACGUUCAUCAAUAUGCUCAUGGGUAUUUCUUAAAGAAAUUUGUCUCGACUAUCGGGAUGGAUUUUAGAGAAAAAUAUUUGGUAAGUGUAGAGAUGUGUGUUUGUGACAGGUUGACGGCAGGUGGCAAGAUUUGCAGUCUGGUAACCAGGCAGUACAAAAAUUACAUUUAAAGGCCACUUUGGAGAAUCUUUUCAUACGAUUUCUGCAAUGUUAUUGGCAGAGCCGUAGAAAAAAGCC
rnacentral:lncRNA from 1 species